rnacentral:rRNA from 1 species
UGUGAGCUCGAUGAGUAGGGCGGGACACGUGGUAUCCUGUCUGAAUAUGGGGGGACCAUCCUCCAAGGCUAAAUACUCCUGACUGACCGAUAGUGAACCAGUACCGUGAGGGAAAGGCGAAAAGAACCCCGGCGAGGGGAGUGAAAAAGAACCUGAAACCGUGUACGUACAAGCAGUGGGAGCACGCUUAGGCGUGUGACUGCGUACCUUUUGUAUAAUGGGUCAGCGACUUAUAUUCUGUAGCAAGGUUAACCGAAUAGGGGAGCCGAAGGGAAACCGAGUCUUAACUGGGCGUUAAGUUGCAGGGUAUAGACCCGAAACCCGGUGAUCUAGCCAUGGGCAGGUUGAAGGUUGGGUAACACUAACUGGAGGACCGAACCGACUAAUGUUGAAAAAUUAGCGGAUGACUUGUGGCUGGGGGUGAAAGGCCAAUCAAACCGGGAGAUAGCUGGUUCUCCCCGAAAGCUAUUUAGGUAGCGCCUCGUGAA